GUGGGGAAUCUUCCGCAAUGGACGAAAGUCUGACGGAGCGACGCCGCGUGAGUGAAGAAGGCCUUCGGGUCGUAAAGCUCUGUCAUCAGGGACGAACGGCCGGUGGAGUGGAAAGCCACCGGAUUGACGGUACCUGAGAAGGAAGCCACGGCUAACUACGUGCCAGCAGCCGCGGUAAUACGUAGGUGGCAAGCGUUGUCCGGAAUUAUUGGGCGUAAAGCGCGCGCAGGUGGGAUCUUAAGUCCAUUUUGAAAGUUCGGAGCUCAACUCCGUGAUGGGAUGGAAACUGGGAUUCUUGAGUACCGGAGAGGAAAGCGGAAUUCCCCGUGUAGCGGUGAAAUGCGUAGAUAUCGGGAGGAACACCAGUGGCGAAGGCGGCUUCCUGGCACAAUACUGACGCUCAUGUGCGAAAGCUAGGGCAGCGAACGGGAUUAGAUACCCUAGUAGUCC
rnacentral:rRNA from 1 species